CAUGAAGGCCACCACCUGCUCCAGCUUGAAGGCCAACCUCUGUUUCCUGGCUGCAUCAUCCUGCUCUAGUGAACACACAAUCUGCCAACAGGACAAGAGUUGCAGUGGUGCACAGGAAACAAAUGCAUCAGUCAAGUAAUCGGUGAAUUGCUUAAGGCCUGGUUCACACUGGAUGUGUGGCGUGACUGCUGCAUCACGCUCCUCAUUUUGUCUACUCGGAUUGACACGGACAGAGAGACAGAGAGGAUCUGCCCUUCACCUGAUAGUUAGUCACAGAGACUGAUCGCCAUGCAUCUGCUCAUCAGGUGAGAAUCUUUAUAAAAGAGUUUCAUAAACAGAAGGACAUUUCAUUGAUGCCUCUUUCAGCAGGAUUUCUUUGCUUUGCAUGUUUUAGAUGUUUCCCUGC